GAUGAACGCUGGCGGCGUGCUUAACACAUGCAAGUCGAACGAUGAAGCCCAGCUUGCUGGGUGGAUUAGUGGCGAACGGGUGAGUAACACGUGAGUAACCUGCCCUUAACUCUGGGAUAAGCCUGGGAAACUGGUCUAAUACCGGGUAGGAGCGUCCACCGCAUGGUGGGUGUUGGAAAGAUUUAUCGGUUUUGGAUGGACUCGCGGCCUAUCAGCUUGUUGGUGAGGUAAUGGCUCACCAAGGCGACGACGGGUAGCCGGCCUGAGAGGGUGACCGGCCACACUGGGACUGAGACACGGCCCAGACUCCUACGGGAGGCAGCAGUGGGGAAUAUUGCACAAUGGGCGCAAGCCUGAUGCAGCGACGCCGCGUGAGGGAUGACGGCCUUCGGGUUGUAAACCUCUUUCAGUAGGGAAGAAGCGAAAGUGACGGUACCUGCAGAAGAAGCACCGGCUAACUACGUG
rnacentral:rRNA from 1 species